GGCUCAAUGGUCUAGUGGUAGGAUACUCGCUUCGGGUUGAAGAUUCCCAUCUCAUGAGAAUGAGACUGUGAGUGGUCCCGGGUUCAAAUCCCGGUUGAGCCC